ACACACACACACCCCACCAGGCAGGUGCUUCCGACAAGGAGGCGGAAAAACAGAUCCACCUGUGAGCCGCUGUGGUUUCCAUGCCUUCGAGAAACUGCCGGGGGCAAGGCACGCGUCAACUGCAGAGAGCCGGGCAGAGAGAGGGAGGUGCCCCAGACUAGGGGGCCUGGACCCGUCUGCCUGUAGGACCCUGGGGUUUUGGGGAACACAGUUGGAGAACCAGGGUGAGGGAGAGGGGAGGGAUCUUCUCCAGGCAGGGCACUUCCUGUGGGGGCCGCAGACCGAGCCCCUUCCCCCGUGGUUCCUUCUCCUGUCCUGAGGCCAGGCCGGCCGGCAGGAUGAGGGCUCGGGACAAUGAAUGGCCCAGCCUCCCGCGCUGUCCACGGCCACCGACUUCCCCGCUGCCAUCUCACUGACCCCGCGCCGUCAGAACCUCCCCGGGGCCUGCCUGGGAUUUGGUGUCCUUCUUUGGGUUUGUUUCUGUUUCCUGCCAAGAGCACAUGGCAGGUUAGGAGUUAGAAAAACACCCUCGGGCCUUUUUCCUAAAAGUAAACACACACACUGGAGGUUACAUGCACAGAACGUGAAACUCACCGUCUUCAUCUUACUGAGUGUUCCGUUCGGGGGUUGAAAUCCAUUCAGGUUCUUGUGCAGCGACCGCCACCCACUUCCAGACCCUUUUCCUCACUUCAUGGUUUCUCUUUAAAAACGUUAAAUCUUUGCCGUUUCCGUCGUGGCGCAGCAGAGACACAUCCUGCUAGAAUCCAUAAGGAUGUGGGUUCGAUCCCUGGCCUCGAUCCCUGGGUCAGGGCUCCAGCGCUGCGGUGAGCCGCGGUGCAGAUCACAGACGCGGCUCAGAGCCAGCACUGCUGUGGCCGCAGCGUCGCUGGCAGCUGUAACUCCGAUUCGACCUCUAGCCUGGGAACCUCCAUGUGCCGAGGGCGCAGCCUUAAAAAGACAGAAAGAAAAUUAAAUCUUUGAUCCAUUAGAAACGUAUACUGGUGUGCCACAGGGCUGAACUGUGGCUCCAAUGUUACCUUUUGCGAAACGGCUAUCACGUUGUCUCAGCAGCAGUGAUGACACUAUUUUUUCAAGCCCCUUUUAAAGUUGAGGAAGCUAAGACUCAGAGGUGAAAUGACGUGAAGAGUCACCCCGCGAGUGGGACCGCCGUCCCACCUCCACCUAAUCCAGCCUCUCAGUCCCGCUUUCGCGGCA
rnacentral:lncRNA from 1 species